UGAGGUAGAGGUGCGGAUUUUAUAAGUAUCUUCGCAGAGGUAAGCACAAUGAAGCGGAGAAAAAGGGAAAUUUCGUCGGAGUGUCACAGUAAAUGCUUUCUUACUAUGAUGCUGGUUCUGUACAGAAUAUGUAUAGUAACUGUCACAAAUAUAUACAUUUGUGGAGAGCUAUCCU
rnacentral:ncRNA from 1 species